UACGGAGGGUGCAAACGUUGCUCGGAAUUAUUGGGCGUAAAGAGCGUGUAGGCGGCCAGGUAGGUCUGGUGUGAAAACUCGAGGCUUAACCUCGAGAUGUCAUCGGAAACCAUUUGGCUAGAGUCCGGAAGAGGAGAGUGGAAUUCCUGGUGUAGCGGUGAAAUGCGCAGAUAUCAGGAAGAACACCAAUGGCGAAAGCAGCUCUCUGGGACGGUACUGACGCUGAGACGCGAAAGCGUGGGGAGCGAACAGG
rnacentral:rRNA from 1 species